GAUGAACGCUAGCGACAGGCCUAACACAUGCAAGUCGAGGGGCAUCGGGACGUAGCAAUACGUUGCCGGCGACCGGCGGAUGGGUGAGUAACGCGUAUGCAACCUACCCGUAGCAGGGGGAUAGCCCGUUGAAAGACGGAUUAAUACCCCGUAACACAGGGGCUCCGCAUGGAGAUUAUUGUUAAAGGGUCAUUUCUUUUAGAGGUGGUCCGGCUACGGAUGGGCAUGCGUUCCAUUAGGUAGUUGGUGUAGGUAACGGCUCACCAAGCCGACGAUGGAUAGGGGAACUGAGAGGUUGGUCCCCCACACUGGUACUGAGACACGGACCAGACUCCUACGGGAGGCAGCAGUGAGGAAUCUUGGUCAAUGGACGCAAGUCUGAACCAGCCAUGUCGCGUGAAGGAGGACGGCCCUAAGGGUUGUAAACUUCUUUUGCAGCGGAAUAAAGUUUGCCACGAGUUGGCGAUUUGCAAGUACGCUGCGAAUAAGGAUCGGCUAACUCCGUG
rnacentral:rRNA from 1 species